UGCACAGUGGAUAUUGCUUGCUUUGAUUUCAGUCCCUUAUGAUGCAUAGACAGUGCGUCAGAGACCAGGUAUCAGAGUUUGAACCAUUCAGAGGUCUGUUGAGUGAUCCAGGAGUCUUUAAAGACUCCACUCGUGCCUCUAGGGAGCUCAGAGAUCACAGUAUCCAGGAUAAAUGUUCCCCUUUCAUGGCAGAGGGGGACGUGGUUCCAAGGCCCCUGGGAUGGUGCCUGCAGAGCGCCCUACUCUGCAGACACUCCCUGGGGCUCUGUCCGCUUCUCCCUCUAGUGAUCCAUCGAGAGGCCACCAUUCCUGGACAGAUCUCGCAAAAAUAUUUUAAGAGUGGAACUUAGCAGUUUGGGAAAUAUUUGACCAGAGCAACUAAGACUGAGGGGUUGGGACUGUCAUGGAAGGGCCUUGAAUGCCAGGCCAAAGGUGCUCACUGAGAGGCUGGAGGGGAGGAAGCCAGAGAAGGGUCUUGGUGUCUCUCUGGGCAGAGGGUGAGGAGGCUUAGACGUCUGCCCGGCUUCUGCUCACUCUUCCAUCCCAGCUCCUCGGCCACUAGAGAAGCUGGCCUGACUGGAUUAUCGCGGACCUGCGCUCCCGCGUGGACGGUGAGGGUAAGGGCGGACGGGACAGUAUUUCCACCUUGGUCUCCCACUCCCUUCCUUGCGGCCUGCGCGGGGUCCCUGCUGGCUAGGCCCUGGGUCCUUGCUGUAGGCGCUCAGGGACCAGCACUCCGUGCCAGGGUCUCCAGGGUCCAAGCUCCAGCAGCUCAGGCCCACCGCCCGCAGGACCACGUCCGGAAGUCCCACCCCCGCUGCUGUUAGCCAAUCAACUGUCGGGGGCAGAGCAAGGGGCGGUCCAAGAAGAACUGACCAAUCGUGGCUGACGGUCGUGUCUGGCGCGGCCCUUCCUCUUCUACGCCUCAGGCGGCACGGUUGCCCGGGCAACUGUUCCGGGCCCCUGGCUUUGAAACUUUCCCUUUUCCCUUGUUCCGGGAGUUCUUUGCUGAAGGAACCAAAGACCAGGAGGCUGGACUCCAGGCUUCGAUGCCGUCCUCCGAGCCUUCAGAGGCGGCUCCCCCGCGCCACUGCCUUCCCGGGCCUGCCAUCGAGAUGCCGAGCCUCCUGCAGUCCUAGAGAGCGUGGGGAGGGAGGGCCAGGGCCACUUCCGGCCUCGAGCGGCCACUGUGGCGACGGGGAAGUCCUGGCCCCUGCCCCAGAGCUCGGCGGGACCCGGGCACCUCCCGCCGGCGCUGUAGCACUUUCUGAGUUCCGGAGCAGUGGCUGGCGAUGCUGCCAGGGGAGAGCCAGGCUUGGCUGCGGCCACAGCCGUCGGAGAGCAGCCAGGAAAGAGACGGAGGUCCUCUUCACUGGCAGCUGGAGAAACUGAGGCGGGCCGUGCAAAGAGGGGCGUGGCUCUGGGUGAUGCGUGAGGGGCCAGAGGGCCAGGAAACGUUAACAGUAGGGGCUUGGCUGCGUUCACCCAUUCAUUUUCCAAGUAACAAAGCUCCAGGCUGGCCAUGAAGAUGAAUACAAACCUCACCAGUAGAGCAACAACAGCUUUUCAAGGAUUCAGAUGAUCCUCUCAUUAAUGCUUUUCUCAAAGACUUAAGGAAAGAACUGCCUUCUGAUAAAAGAUAGUUGGAGGUGGGGUGGGUAUACAUCUGACAUACAAUACACACCCUCAGUAUUUCUAUCUCCCUAAGUUUGUGGGUUUCUUCUUUCCCGUCAUGCCAAUUGCACUUCUGGCAUCUCAACCUCAUUAACUGAAGGCUGCCACUGAGUCCAAAUUUCAGCAAAGAAAUGGACUAAACUGUUAAAGCCACCUGUAGCUGUACAAGUUAACAUUAAAUUUGAAGUUUCUAGUAAGCACC